rnacentral:rRNA from 1 species
AUUGAACGCUGGCGGCAUGCCUUACACAUGCAAGUCGAACGUUAACAGGUCUUCUGCUGCUGACGAGUGCCGCACGGUUGAUUAAUACAUCGGAACGUGCCCAGACGUUGGGGAUAACGGGGCGAAAGCUUUGCUAAUACCGCAUACGAUCUCAGAAUGCCAGCAGGGGACCGCCGGGCCUUGCGCCUUUGGAGCGGGCGUUGGCCGUUUAUGUAGUGGGUGUGCUAAAAGCUUACCAAGCCGACGAUCUCUAACGGAUCUGAGAGGAAGACCAGCCACACUGGGACUGAGACACGGCCCAGACUCCUACGGGAGGCAGAAGUGGGGAAUUUUGGACAAUGGGCGAAAGCCUGAUCCAGCAAGGCCGAGGGCAGGAUGAAGGCCUUCGGGUUGUAAACUGCUUUUGUACGGAACGAAAAGGCUCUGGCUAAUACCUGGGGAACAUGACGGUACCGGAAGAAGAAGCACCGGCUAACUACGUG